UGUACACUCAAUGUUUACAAGAACUCCCCGGACUACUGUUAACGAUGUUAAUAGCAUUGUGAGGCAGUCAGCUGUCACACCUAACAGUAAGAAGGAGAAGGGAUUUAAAUUAUAUGUUUCGAGUUACAUCGACAACCUUUAGGGAUCAAGGUGACAGGAGAGAUGAGCGUGAGGGCGACAGGAAUUUAGAGAAGCCACAUGGAGAGUUGGAGGACACUCAAAAAGAGAAAAAAAAUGCAUUUGAGCUUAAGUCUGAAUUACACGCUCAUUACAUACAGAAGUUACUGAAAGGGAGCAGAGCUGGCACAAACCCAGAACAAUGGGCUUCAAGCCAAGUCCUGUCAGUGAAAUGGUGGUCCUGUCUGCAAGACCCAAAGAGUGGAAACUUGUUGAGGGGUUAAGGCAAAUCUCUCCUUUUCUGCCUCCCUCACAAAUCCCUUCAUAAGAUUCAACUGGUCCAGAAUUCAGCUGCCCGCAUCAUAACUCGAACCCCCUCUAUUCACCACAUCACUCCAGUUCUUCAACAGCUUCACUGGCUCCCGGUCCAGUUCCGUAUUCAAAUCCUUCUGUUAACAUUCAAGGCCAUCCACAAACUUGCCCCCCCAUAUCUGUCUGAUCUUCUCCAUGGUCCAACAUCCACCCGCUCCCUUAGAUCCUCUUCCUUCAUACACCUGUCUGUCCCCCCCGCCCGUCUCACCACUAUGGGGAGCAGAGCAUUUAGCCGCUCUGCUCCCCAUCUCUGGAACUCAUUACCACCCCAACUUAGAAACAUCGAUUCAUUUUUCCUCUUCAAAUCGCAACUCAAAACACAUCUGUUCAAAAAUGCCUAUCUCACAUGAUAUCAAUUGCUCUACCUCUUUUUUUUGUUUUUUUAAUGUUGUUGUUUAUUUAAUUUUGUUGCUUUUAAAUGUCUUAUGUAUCCCUGUACGGUGUCCUUGAGUGCCGAGAAAGGCGCCUUUAAAUAAAAUGUAUUAUUAUUAUUAUUUAUUAUUAUUAAGGAGCAACACCAAUUCAUCAAUGCAGUACUUUACAUAAACUCCACCUUUUUUACAAUACUCAUAAUUUACAAAGACUUACUGGAUGAGAUCAGUCCUAGAGAAAAAAAAUUGACUUUCCCAAUACCAGUGUCAAAAAUGUAUGUUUUUAUUAGCUGUGGCGUAGUGGGCUAAAGCAGUAAACUGUUAAGCAGAAGGUUCGAUCCCCACAGCCACCACCAUUGUGUCCUUGAGCAAGGCACUUAUCUCCAGGUUGCUCCAUGUAAUAAGUGCACUGUAAGUCGCUUUGGAUAAAAGUGUCUGCCAAAUGCAUAAAUGUAAAUGUAGGAGCAAUAUUUGCCUGGAAUUGAUUUUCUGGGGUAUUUGAGAGCAAUAUGAGGGCAUGUUUUUUCUAACCUUAUAAAAACACAGCAUGACAUCUAUUUAUGUAAAAUACUUCAAACCCAUACUAUACCAUACCCAUACUAAGAAAUGGAAAUAAACUGUAAUGAAAAAUAUCAAAGGUCAGACAACAAAUUAAAACUAAGGAAUUUUUCUGCAUUACUGCAGUGCACUGUAUCAAAGUUAUUUAUAUUUACAUGUUUACAUUAUUAACAUUUGUAAAAAUUAAAACAAAUUUAUCCAUCCCCAACAACAAGUGUCUAGGUUUACGUUAAUCCUUAACCCAUGAUUUAACUAGGGGGCCAAGUAACUGCAUAGCUGGUUGAUGCUGCCAGUGAUGGAGAGAGGGAUGACAAUGUAUGUCAAACAGCUUGUGUUGUUUCACCCUGCGUAUGACAUCGGAUCUCAGCAAUGUUCGACCAAACUACUGUUUUCCUGACAUCGAUAUUUAAACUAUCUGGAACUAAGGAAUUGACUUUGCUCAGUUUCUGACCCUGCCCAAUACUUUUUCAUCUCUUGAAUACCUUUUACAGAGUUGUUAUCAGCAAGCUGCCUGACUGCUCAGUCCUCCAAGUGACCAGCGCUGCAGCCCCUUUAGUCACCACAAUUGAGAUGUCCAAUGAGGAUUCAUUGGUGGAUUCUGCCUUUGGUAAAUUUCAGGCUGGGAGUGUACUAUCAUACCAACAGUCAGUAGCAACAACCCACAACAUAACUCCCCAUCAAGAUGCCACACCUUGUCGGUUACAGCUUUAACCAAUCUGUCUGCUUGUUUGUCCAAAGCCAUUAUGGACUACUAAACAUGAGGUCACUGGCUGUAACUUUGGAAACUGCUCACAAGAUUCAGCAUGCCACAAGAGACCAGAGUGCAUCGCUGGAUUGGCAACAUUUGGACUGGCAAACAUUUUUGGAAAUGUUUCUGAUUAACAGUUUUUAUUGAUUCAGAUACAUGAAACAGAAAAGCAAACAUAUAUACAGCAAAUCAACAUUUAACCCGCAUUAUUACCUUUUGCCCUCCCAAUCCCCAACCCCACCCUGACCCUCAACAAAUAUCUCUGUGGUCCAACUUGAGAAUACGCACAAAAAAAAAUAAAAAAAUGUAUAUAUAUACAAAAUGUAUAAAAAUCACACACAUUUAAAACUACACAUCCCUCUCCAAUUCCCCUCCCCGAGAGCCUUCCAAAAAUACCAAAUAGCUGCCCCAUUUUUUAUUAAAUAACUUGUGAGUUUCCCUGCCUUCUAUAUGCCAUUUCUUUGAAUGCCGCCACCCUGCCCGUCUCUAUGGAUCACUCUUGAAAUGAGGGUGCUCCAGCCGACUUCCAUCCCCUAAGGAUGACCUGCCAUGUUUACAUUACUGCAUUGCAGGUAACACUGUAUCAAAUGAAUUAAUAUUUACAUGUUUACAUUACUGCACUGCAGGUAACGCUGUAUCAAAAUUAUUUAUAUUUGCAUGUUUACAUUACUGCAGUGCAGGUAAUUAUCAAAGUUAUUAAUAUUUACAUGUUUACAUUACUGCAGUGCAGGUAACUCUGUAUCAAAGUUAUUUAUGUUUACAUGUUUACAUUACUGCAGUGCAGGUAACACUGUAUCAAAGUUAUUUAUGUUUACAUUACUGCAGUGCAGGUAACACUGUAUCAAAGUUAUUUAUGUUUACAUUACUGCAUUGCAGGUAACGCUGUAUCAAAGUUAUUUAUGUUUACAUGUUUACAUUAUUAACAUUUGUACAAAUAAAAGCAAAUUUAUC